ACAGAUCACCAGUUCCUGGUCCUAGAGAUACCUCUUCGCAGCUCAGCCCACUGCUCUCCUCCUCGGGGACCCUUAAGGGCCAGGACGGUUCUGGCAUCUAUUCUCCUGGCUUCUUCCCUCCACCCCACCCCCAGGACUAGCACAGCACUGGAUACAUAGCAGGCAUGUGCUGGUUGGUAGAUGGCCAUGUGAAGUCCGAUGUAAUUGAGACGUUGUGGAAAGGAGGCUGCCUGCGCUUUGGGGGAACGGUGGUGCGUGACCUCCCCACUAUGCCUGGGGUCCCCCGCUGGGAGGAGGCCUUACCUCAGCAGCUGGCGAGGCUGGUGCAGCUCUGUCCCUCAGGUCUGCUGAAGGGUUUCCUGGGAUGCAGGACUUUCAGUGUAAAACCCAGCAAGUCGGCAAAGGUUGGCCAGCCUAGACUACCUCGGCCACAUGAACAACUUCCUGAAUUCUAGGCCAAAGAGUCCUUCUGAUAAAUUCUAGACCCAUUCCUCUGGGAUGGCCAGCAAGCUCCCUGCUUCUGGAGUGGGACACAGGAGUUCACCAUUAGUCUGGACACACCAAAGAGUAAAGCAAAGGUCAAAUGUGGUCCUCCAAAAGGAUCUGGAUGAGUCCUCCCUGCGGUGACUGGUAAGGCAUAAGUGGUGUUUCUCAAAGUACAUCUGGGCCCAAGUGUAUCACAGUCUCCUGGGGAGCUCAUUACAAAUGCAGUUCCCAGGCCAUGUUCUAGAAAUACUAAAUCAUAAGCCCUAGGGGUAGGACAUAGGAAUCAGCAUUUUGAACAGUCACCCUAGGAAAUUCUCCUGCUUAAAAUUCUUCUAUGUAAAAGGUCUCUCUUGGGGGUAGUUGCUGUUUGUUUAAAUAAAAGACAAAGUUGUAUGUCAAAUUUAUCUCUACCGUAAAAUUUCCAGGAUUUCUCAACCUUGGCACAAUUGACAUUUUGGACCAGGUAAUUCUCUGCUGUGGGGACUGUCCUGCUCGUUGCAGGAUGUUUAACAACAUCCCUGGUGGUCCAGUGGCUAAGACUCCAUGCUCCCAAUGCAGGAGGCCCGGGUUCGAUCCCUGGUUGGGGAACUAGAUCCCACAUGCCGCAACUAAAAGAAAGAUCCUGCAUGCCACAACUAAGAUCUGGUGCAGCCAAAAUAAAUAAAUAUAUGUUUUAAAAAGUCUUUAAAAUAAAACAAAAACAACAUCACCGGACACUAGAUACCAGUAGCAUCCUACAGU